ensembl:snRNA U6 U6 spliceosomal RNA
GUGCUCGCUUCAGCAGCACAUAUACUAAAAUCGUAACAACACAGAGGUUAGCAUGGUCCCUGCAUAAGGAUGGCAUGCAAACUGGGGAGGUGUUCCAUCUUUUU